GCAUCGGUUGUUCAGUGGUAGAAUGCUCGCCUGCCACGCUGGCGCCCCGGGUUCGAUUCCCGGCCGAUGCA
rnacentral:tRNA from 1 species